rnacentral:rRNA from 1 species
AUUGAACGCUGGCGGCAGGCCUAACACAUGCAAGUCGAGCGGAUGAGUGGAGCUUGCUCCAUGAUUCAGCGGCGGACGGGUGAGUAAUGCCUAGGAAUCUGCCUGGUAGUGGGGGACAACGUAUCGAAAGGAACGCUAAUACCGCAUACGUCCUACGGGAGAACGUGGGGGAUCUUCGGACCUCACGCUAUCAGAUGAGCCUAGGUCGGAUUAGCUAGUUGGUGAGGUAAAGGCUCACCAAGGCGACGAUCCGUAACUGGUCUGAGAGGAUGAUCAGUCACACUGGAACUGAGACACGGUCCAGACUCCUACGGGAGGCAGCAGUGGGGAAUAUUCGACAAUGGGCGAAAGCCUGAUGCAGCAAUGCCGCGUGUGUGAAGAAGGUCUUCGGAUUGUAAAGCUCUUUAAGUUGGGAGGAAGAGCAGUAAGUUAAUACCUGGCUGUUUUGACGUUACCAACAGAAUAAGCAACGGCUAACUACGUG